GGGGCUGUGGCUCAGUGGUAGAGCGCUUGCCUUGAAAGUGUGAGGCCCUAGGUUCAAUCCUUACACAUUUA
rnacentral:tRNA from 1 species